rnacentral:rRNA from 1 species
UACAGAGGUCUCAAGCGUUGUUCGGAUUCAUUGGGCGUAAAGGGUGCGUAGGUGGCGCCGUAAGUCAGGUGUGAAAUUUCGGAGCUUAACUCCGAAACUGCAUUUGAUACUGCGGUGCUUGAGGACUGGAGAGGAGACUGGAAUUUACGGUGUAGCAGUGAAAUGCGUAGAGAUCGUAAGGAACACCAAUGGCGAAGGCAGCCCCCUGGGUCGAUACUGACGCUCAUGCACGAAAGCGUGGGUAGCAAACAGG